AUUGAACGCUGGCGGCAUGCUUUACACAUGCAAGUCGAACGGCAGCACGGGUGCUUGCACCUGGUGGCGAGUGGCGAACGGGUGAGUAAUGCAUCGGAACGUGCCCAUGAGUGGGGGAUAGCCCGGCGAAAGCCGGAUUAAUACCGCAUACGCCCUUAGGGGGGAAAGCGGGGGAUCUUCGGACCUCGCGCUAUUGGAGCGGCCGAUGUCGGAUUAGCUAGUAGGUGAGGUAAAGGCUCACCUAGGCGACGAUCCGUAGCUGGUCUGAGAGGAUGAUCAGCCACACUGGGACUGAAACACGGCCAGACUCCUACGGGAGGCAGCAGUGGGGAAUUUUGGACAAUGGGCGCAAGCCUGAUCCAGCCAUGCCGCGUGAGUGAAGAAGG
rnacentral:rRNA from 1 species